AACGAACGCUGGCGGCGUGAUAAGACAUGCAAGUCGAACGGGACUAAAUCUGUAGCAAUACAGGUUUAGUUUAGUGGCGAACGGGUGCGUAACACGUGGGCAAUCUGCCGAGAAGUGGGGGAUAGCUCGCCGAAAGGCGAAUUAAUACCGCAUAUGAUCAGGCUAAGACAUCUUAGCGACAUCAAAGCCGGGGUAACCUGGCGCUUCUUGAUGAGCCGNGGCCUAUCAGCUAGUUGCGAGGUACGGCUCACCAAGGCUAUGACGGGUAGCUGGUCUGAGAGGACGACCAGUCACACUGGGAACUGA
rnacentral:rRNA from 1 species